GGGGGCGAUUCUGGAUUCGACAGGAUUCACGAAACCCAAGGAGCAUGUCGAGGGGCGGUUGGCCUCGUAAAAAGCCGCACCGUUAUAGUUGCAAACGACUCUAACUACUCUCUAGCAGCUUAGGCUAGCUAGCCAUCAGCCACACGUUUCGCACGUGGACAGUGGAUCCUGAUGGUCAUAUUACAGUGUGCUAGCGAGGGAACUCCGUCCGGGGGUGAACCGCGAAACAGUACCGGACUCACCAAGUAGCAUCCUGUCUUUCGGAGACUGCUUGGUUAAAUAAAAGAGAGACUAAACAUGUAGCGCCGAGGAUGUAGGCUUUCUGGACGCGGGUUCAAGUCCCGCCGCCUCCACCA
rnacentral:tmRNA from 1 species